CGGGUAGAAUUCCGACAAUCUCCCAGUCAGAAAGGUCUAAGUUGUAAAUAGGGGAUUCACAUUGAUUACCAACAUGAAACAACUGUUGCUUCUAGUUCUUCCGUGUAUUGUUGCAAUAGUUUUGGUGAAUGCACAAGCAGGUAUCGGUGGUGUCGGUGGCGUCGGUGGUGUAGGUGGCACAACUGGCGGUGGUAUUGGUGGAUUUGGUGGCUAUCCAAAUAAUGCUGUCUAUUAUCCGUAUCCCGUUCAGAGCAGAACUAGACCUAGCAUUAUCGGACCACUAUUGCAAGAAAUCCAGGCAGAAAACAACAGAGCAAUGAUCGCUAAUCUUUUUGCUUGGGGCUUGCUCUUAGCAGUAAUGAAUAACUUAACAGGAAUUAUCAGUUAAAGACAAUUUGACGAAAAUUAAUGUGUUUCAAGGGGGUAUUUGGCGGCCAGACAUCAUGUGUUGACAAUUUAUAAUAAAUUAGUUACUAUAU